ensembl:snRNA U2 U2 spliceosomal RNA
AUUGCUUCUUGGCCUUUUGGCUAAGAUCAAGUGUAGCGUCUAAGUCUGCUUAAUAAAUUGGCCUAUCCCUCUCACUGAUGUGUUCUGAAAUUCUUUUAAUGUGAUGAGAACUGAUGAGCUUACUCUGUGAUGACACCACCAUGAAAUACUUUCAUGAAAUUUA